rnacentral:rRNA from 1 species
GGAUUAUGUUGUUUAAUUCGACGCAACGCGAAGAACCUUACCAGGCCUUGACAUACUCGGCAAAGCUCUAGAGAUAGAGUGAGGUUAUCCGGGAUACAGGUGGUGCAUGGUUGUCGUCAGCUCGUGUCGUGAGAUGUUGGGUUAAGUCCCGCAACGAGCGCAACCCUUGUCUUUAGUUACCAUCAUUCAGUUGGGGACUCUAGAGAGACUGCCGGUGAUAAACCGGAGGAAGGUGGGGAUGACGUCAAAUCAUCAUGCCCCUUAUGGCCUGGGCUACAAACGUAAUACAAUGGCGUAUACAAAGGGAUGCGAAAGGGCGACCUGGAGCAAAACUCACAAAGUACGUCUCAGUUCAGAUUGGAGUCUGCAACUCGACUCCAUGAAGGCGGAAUCGCUAGUAAUCGCGGAUCAGCAUGCCGCGGUGAAUACGUUCUCGGGGUUU